rnacentral:rRNA from 1 species
CCUACGGGAGGCAGCAGUAAGGAAUAUUGGGCAAUGGACGCAAGUCUGACCCAGCCAUGCCGCGUGCAGGAUGACAGCCCUACGGGUUGUAAACUGCUUUUAUAUGGGAAAAAUUCUUCCGACGUGUCGGAAGUCGAUGGUACCGUAUGAAUAAGCAUCGGCUAACUCCGUGCCAGCAGCCGCGGUAAUACGGAGGAUGCAAGCGUUAUCCGGAUUUAUUGGGUUUAAAGGGUGCGCAGGCGGAAUGAUAAGUCAGUGGUGAAAUCCUACGGCUCAACCGUAGAACUGCCAUUGAUACUGUCGUUCUUGAGUACAGUUGUAGUGGGCGGAAUAUGUCAUGUAGCGGUGAAAUGCAUAGAUAUGACAUAGAACACCGAUCGCGAAGGCAGCUCACUAAGCUGAAACUGACGCUGAGGCACGAAAGCGUGGGGAGCAAACAGGAUUAGAUACCCUGGUAGUCCACGCUGUAAACGAUGAUUACUCGUUGUUGGCGAUACACUGUCAGCGACUGAACGAAAGUAUUAAGUAAUCCACCUGGGGAGUACGAUCGCAAGAUUGAAACUCAAAGGAAUUGACGG